AGUCCCGUAGCUCAGCUGGUUAGAGCGCUACACUGAUAAUGUAGAGGUCCCCCGUUCAAGUCGGGGCGGGACUACAA
rnacentral:tRNA from 1 species